AAGAGUUUGAUCCUGGCUCAGGAUGAACGCUGGCGGCGUGCUUAACACAUGCAAGUCGAACGGUGAAGCAGAGCUUGCCCUGUGGAAAGCGGGAUCGCCUCAGUAACACGAGUGCAAUCUGCCCCUGACUCUGGGAUAAGCGCUGGAAACGGCGUCUAAUACCGGAUACGAGCUGCGACCGCAUGGUCAGUAGCUGGAAAGAAUUUCGGGUCAGGGAUGAGCUCGCGGCCUAUCAGCUUGUUGGUGAGGUAACAGCUAGAGAAGUCCUCAAAAGAUAUUCGGCCUUAAACAGAGAACGUCUAGAUAUCGACUGUUAUACGGCACUAUCUAAUAUGCCCCCCAUCUGUGCUCGAUAACGCAGACUUGGCGAAAGCCCGACACAGUUACUCCCUAUUAGGGAUGACGCCCUUCGGGUUCUACACCUUUUUUAGCAGGGAGGGCGCGAAAGUGGCGGUAGCCGCAGCAAAAGCGCCGGCGAACUACGUGCCAGCAGCCACGGUAAUAUAGAGGGCGCAAACGGGAGCCGGGAUCAUAGGGGGUACAGAGUUUGUAAGCCGUUGGUCGCUUCCUUCUCGGUUAACUCGAAGUUCUACCUAGGGCCCGCGGUGGGGAGGGGCAACCUACAAUGCUGUAGGGGAGAUAGGAAUUCCUGUUGUAGCGGGGGGAGGCGCUUAUAUUCGGAGGGACCCGGAGGGAUAAGGGAGAUCGCUGGGCCCAUCUUGUCGCUGAGGAGCGGGAGGGGGGGGCGCAGGCAGGUUUAGGUUGUUUGGUAGGCCCCACCGUAAACCUUGGGAACUAGUUGGGGGGAAAAUUCCCCGGAUUUCGUGGGGGUCCUACCGCAUUAAGUUCUCCGCCUGGGGAGUCCGGGCGCUAGGCUAAAACUCAAAGGAAUUGACGCGGACCCGCACAAGCGGCGGAGCAUGCGGAAUAAUUCGAUUCUACCCGAAGACCCUCACCAAGGCUUGACAUAUAGAGGAACCGUCUGGAACCAGUCGCCCUCACAGCUCUCUAUACAGCUGGUGCAUUUUUGUCGUCAUCUCGUGUCGUGAGAUGUUGGGUUAAGUCCCGCACCGAGCGCAACUCUCAUUCUAUGUUGCCAGCCCGUAAUGGUGGGACCUCAUGGGACACUGCCGGGGUCAACUCGGAGGAAUUGUGCGAUGACGUCAAAUCCUCAUCCCCCUUAAGUCUUGGGCUUGUCCCAUGCUACAAUGGGCGCUACAAAGCGCUCCAAUACCCUGACCUGCAGCGAAUCCCAAAAUGCCGGUCCCAGUUCGGAUUGAGGUCUGCAAGUCGUCCUCAUGAAGUGGGAGUCGCUAGUAAUCGCUGAUCAGCAACUCUGCGGUGAAUACGUUCCCGGGUCUUGUUCACACCGCCCGUCAACUCUUGAAAGUCUGUAACACCUGAAGGCGGUGGCCCAACCCUUGUGGAGGGUGCCGACGAA
rnacentral:rRNA from 1 species